UGUAUCGGAAGCCUGACGAGGAUGAGAACCUCCGGGGGCAAGAGGUUCGACUCGAGCGCAGCGAGAGAACGUUGCGUCAGCAACGGCC
rnacentral:sRNA from 1 species